AAAGAAGACAGGCUUGAAGGAUGGCAAGACAGCUUAUAGGAGGAAGGGAAUAGGAAAAGUAUGGCUAGCAAAGGUGGUAUUGUCAUGCAGAUGAAACUUCACAGCAGAAUUAACACCACAUAUACAUGAAUGCUGCCAAGAAUUAGACCUUGCAUCCUUUGGCGAAAUGACCCAAGUUGUUCCUGGAGUCAUAUCCAGGAGAUAAUCAACUAAGAGCCAGGCACCCCUUCAAGUCCGAAAAGAAACAUUUUACAACCUGCUCUCUCUGAAGUCUGCUAUCUGACAGCUUCCUCUGCACAAUAAAACUUGGUCUCCACAAUUCUUUAUCCUAACCUGAACAUUUCCUUUCAUCCCAGGUCUUCAGAAAAACUCAACCAAUUGUCAACCAGAAAAUGUUUUAAUUUACCUGUACCCUGGAAGCCCCCGCUUUGAGUUGUCCCACCUUUCUGAACCAAACCAAUGAUGUACUACUUAAAUGUAUUUGAUUGAUGUCUCAUGCCUCCCUACAAUAUAUAAAACCAAGCUGUAACCCAACCACCAUGGACAUAUGUUCUCAGGGCCUCCUGAGGGCUGUGUCAUGGGCCAUGGUCACUCAUAUUUGGCU
rnacentral:lncRNA from 1 species